rnacentral:rRNA from 1 species
ACUGCUCAGUAACACGUAGCUAACCUACCCUUAAAGUCGAGGAUACUCUCGGGAAACUGAGGUUAAUACUCGAUAGGGAGAUGUACCCUGGAAUGAUUCAUCUCUUAAAACUUGUGCUUAAGGAUGGGGCUGCGGCGGAUUAGGUUGUUGGCGGGGUAAAGGCCCACCAAGCCGAUGAUCCGUAAGGGCUCUUAGCGGAGAGGCCCUGAGAGGGAAUCUGAGACACUAUUCCCAGCCCUACGGGGUGCAGCAGUUAGGAAUCUUCUGCAAUGCGCGCAAGCGUGACAGAUUGAGUCAGAGUGCUUUUCAUAUGAAAAGCUUUUGCCAAAUGCAAAAAGUUUGGCGAAUAAGGACUGGGUAAGACGGGUGCCAGCCGCCGCGGUAAUACCCGCGGUCCAAGUCGCAGCCAUCAUUAUUGGGUCUAAAACAUCCGUAGCUUGCUUAAUAAGUUUCUUGUGAAAUUCCAUGUCUUAAAUAUGGAGCGGGCAAGAAGUACUGUUGAGCUAGAGACUGGAAGACGUAAGAAGUACGUUUGGAGUAGCGGUAAAAUGUGUUGAUCCCAGACGGACUAACAACAGCGAAGGCAUCUUACGAGGACAGUUCUGACAGUAAGGGAUGAAGGCUAGGGGCGCGAAAGGGAUUAGAUACCCCUGUAGUCCUAGCAGUAAACACUGCACACUAAACAUUAGUACCUCCUCGAGAGGUGUUAGUGCUGAAGAGAAGUCGAAGAGUGUGCUACCUGGGAAGUAUAGUCGCAAGGCUGAAACUUAAAGGAAUUGGCGGGGGAGCA